rnacentral:rRNA from 1 species
AAUCAACGCUGGCGGCGUGCCUCAGACAUGCAAGUCGAACGAUUAAGACUCCCUUCGGGGAGUGUAUAAAGUGGCGCACGGGUGAGUAACACGUAAGUAAUCUACCUUCGAGUGGGGAAUAACGUCCGGAAACGGACGCUAAUACCGCAUAAUGCAGCGGCAUCUAAUGAUGACAGUUGUUAAAGAUUUAUCGCUUGAAGAGGAGCUUGCGGCAGAUUAGCUAGUGGUAAGGUAAUGGCUUACCAAGGCUACGAUCUGUAACCGGUCUAAGAGGACGGUCGGUCACACUGACACUGAAUAACGGGUCAGACUCCUACGGGAGGCAGCAGUCGGGAAUUUUGGGCAAUGGGCGAAAGCCUGACCCAGCAACGCCGCGUGAAGGAUGAAGUAUUUCGGUAUGUAAACUUCGAAAGAAUGGGAAGAAUAAAUGACGGUACCAUUUAUAAGCUCCGGCUAACUACGUGCCAGCCGCCGCGGUAA